GACGAACGCUGGCGGCGCGCUUAACACAUGCAAGUCGAACGGAAAGGCCUGCUUUCCCUUGUGGAUUGCGGGUACUCGAGUGGCGAACGGGUGAGUAACACGUGAGUGAUCUGCCCCCAACUUGGGUAUAAGCCUGGGAAACUGGGUCUAAUUCCCGAUAGGACUGCAGGGUGGUGCCUGUGGUGGAAAACGAUUUUCUAGUGGUUGGGGAUGAGCUCGCGCCUUUCCGCGUUUGGGGGGGGUCAUGGCCCACCAAGGCGGGGACGGGUAGCCGGGGGGAGAUGGUGGACGGCCGCAUUGGGACUGGGAUACGGCCCAGACGCCUACGGGAGGCAGCAGUGGGGAAUAUUGCACAAUGGGCGGAAGCCUGAUGCAGCGACGCCGCGUGGGGGAUGACGGCCUUCGGGUUGUAAACUCCUUUCGACCGAGAGGAAGCCACCUGGUUGGAAGGGUGGUGACGGUAGUGGUAGAAGAAGCACCGGCUAACUACGUG
rnacentral:rRNA from 1 species